UUAGUGCUUUCUUAAACCAUAUAUCUAAUGUGCUCUUCAGGUCCUAACCUCAGGUCCAUGGUUCUCAGGAGGCAACCUGUUUCCAGUAAAUCUGCUGGCUGAGAAGCUUCAACUCAGUCCACAACUCACAACAGAGAUCUCAGCAGUAACCACCAAGAGGAUGAUUUGAAAUAGUCACUGUCCCAUAAAGAAUGUAUCAAAUAGAAGGUUGUAACCUUUCUUCCAGCAUCUGAUGGAAAUAUAUUGUUUCAUUGUCCUGCCUUCAAGAUCAAGACACCCACCUUCUGCUCCAUGAUUCAACAUGAAAGGUAUCUAUUUUCAAGGGUGUUCCCAAAUUAAGCACAGAGAGUUUCUUCAAGCUGAACCCCAUAGCCAGGUACUCAGCAUAUUACAACUAAAUCAACAUAUUGUCUGUUAUGUUUAUGGAUUGACCAUUCUCUUGAGGGUAAAUCUUUUUUCAACAUCAGAUUCUUGUCUGUUCUGUCCUAUUGAAUCAGACCAUACAAGUCUUCAAACUUACUAAUACGAGUGUCUUUCCUAUGAAAUCCCCACUAAUCCUCACUGAACAGAGAGAGGUUGUCUUUUUACCAACUUUCCCAAAAAGCACUGCUCAAGCCAGUAAUUUGGUAGUUGGGGAUUUUCUUUCUCCUUGGAGGAGGGUUUAUUUUUGCCAUCGUGACAAAUUAACUCCUGAGACAGAUAUUGACCCAGAAAUUCCUGCAGAUGUGCUCCAAUUUAAACUAGAUCUUUGGCUGAUAUAAAUUCACAUACUUCCUGCUAAGCUUGAGGAGCAGCAAGGGCAACAAAUCUGGAGUAGAACUAGUUCUCACCCUUCUUAGUGAGUGAAGAAUUGUUCUCUACAGUGACUUCUGUAAAGUUUUAACUACAGCCAUUCUUCAAUGUUUGUUUUGUGCUAAGACCAGUUUGAUUUUUUUCCUUCAACACCCUUAUUGAUCAGACACAGCAUUGCUUUUAAUUAAGUCUUGUACCUGCUAGAGAUAAGUUGUAAGUGUAGCAUUAUUUGUUAUUUCUCCUGAUGAGGUGCAAACGUAUGGGAUUUGGAAACAACCAUAAGGACAGAAAAGUGCAGAGAUAUGCUUGAAUGCUGAAGGAGCAGAAAGAGAGAAGGUCAAGAAAGAAUUUCCUUUCCAAAGUUCACUACAAUAUACAUUUUCCUUUUGUGACUGCCUUUUUCUCUAACUGAUGCUUACCUUCCUUCCAUGUAUCACUGUUUUAACUUGUUUCUUAAGGCCCUAGGAUUUUAA
rnacentral:lncRNA from 1 species